ensembl:lncRNA
AUUUUCUCAGUCUUUCAGUUUUCUGUAGAUGGAUGUGGGGGCAUUGGAGGAAAAAAUAUAUAAAGUAGCAUUAUUUAUUCAUACUAACUGAAUAAGAAUUGAAGUUUACAACUAGAUUAACUAAAAGCCACCUAAAUGAGCAUGAAGUCAUGGUUGAAGUAGCUGUGCAGCCUGCUGGGGAAAAAAUAGAAACCAUCGAAGAAUUUGUAACGGUUUUAAUGGGAAUAAUGGGAAUUGUAUUGGAUUUAAUGGAAACUGUAAUGGUCCCUGUAGGUCUCUGCUGACUUUGUUACCUUUUGUUGCUGGCAUGUUAGGUCUAGUGGAUACCAUUAAGGUAUCCAUACAUACAAGUUCUUUCACAUAGAUUGUGAAACAAUCAUAAGUUAGGCCUAGGUCAAAAGUUUAAUGAUAAUUAUUGAUACAUGUUCUUUCCUAUAGCUGUCUGGUGCAAUUCCACACGCACACACACAAACAUAGACACACAGACACCGACAGCGUCAUUUUUAAAAGUAAGGAAGGUGACUGGAUGCCGCCCUUAAGCGAUUACUUGGGUGGUCUUACCAGCGAACUAGAUGAUGGCGAUCAAAUCGUAGGAUUCCUUUAAAAUCUUAAACUUAAAAACAAUUAAUACUGACAAGCCACUAUCUGUCUUCAAACCAAGACUUGAGUGCAAACACCAUCAACCCUGGCAUCAAGAAAAAUAAGCAUUGACAAAAAGCCUCAAAUGCACAUGCGUUCAGCACAGAGAUUCUUGAUUUACUGAGUUUAACACGCUGUUGAUUAUUUCCAUUUUGCAAUAGUUCCACUUUCACUCUUCCCCCGGAUGGAUCUGCAUGGAGCCAUUCAGGACAAGGAGAGAGCAUUUGCACCACUGGGACACCUGAACUCUCAUCCCCUGCCAGAACACCCUGAUAUAAGAAGAUAUGGCCAGACAUGCCAUUUGGUCUCUGUAGUUUCCUCACUACUUAGCUAGUUGCAUCAAAACUCACAGUUGGGGUGGCCAAAUUAGGAAGAUGGCUUGGCUCAGGAUCCCCAAAAAGCAUCAGCUGUGUUGUCUCUGAUGCCCUCCAUACAUGGGGUUCCAUUCUACCCUCACACAGUUCUUUUGCUAUCUGCACAUGCAAGUUACCAAGCAUUGCAUGCUUGGAACAGCCAGUGUGCAAGAAGUCAUCAGUGUUUUUAAUUAAACAAUUGAGCACCAUUGGGCUGUUCAUUUCAGGCUCUCUGUCGUAUUUUAUGGGAAUGUGGCCAUGACAUUCCUUACAGUUGCCUCUGAUUUCUAUGUAUUUCUCUGUGGCUGAUGGAUAGACCUUGGCUCUUUUAAAUUCAAAUGUGCAGGGGCUUUUCACUUCUUGCCAAAUGUGAUGAUUUAUCACAUGCGUCCAGAUGCCAGGCUUCAAAAUAGUGUAUUCCCUUUUUUGUGUUUUAGAGAACUUGUUUUUGUAUUGAACUGUUUCAGGCAUGAAUUCAAUCCAUUUCUGAAAUGGAACUUGAAGAUCGAAAGUCCAGUAAUCUUUUGGUCUGGGGGAAAGGGACCCUGGCUCAAAAUCAGUAUCAUCACUUGUUUCACCAUCACUUUGAUAAAUAAACCCUAAAGCAGUCCAGAUGUUGUGUCUGUUCAACUUAACAAAAGUAUAUAGAGCCUUUGCAGUGAUCUUUUCUAGCUGCUCACUAAGCUCUGUCCAGAUGCUCUGAUUAGGAGUAGCUACGUUGCCAUUUUGGACUAUGGCCUCUUUUGAUGAACAGAGGACUGUGAAAAGCGAAUCCCUUUCAACUGCUGGUUUCUUGGGCAUCUGGCAUAAGCAAAGCAUAAUUAUCCACUGAAAUAAUCCUGAUGCAAAAAAAUGUCAUAUACAGUAUAAACCUGUUUUCAUGUAUUACUGUGU